UACGUAGGGGGCAAGCGUUGUCCGGAUUUAUUGGGCGUAAAGAGCUCGUAGGCGGCUCGGUAAGUCGGAUGUGAAACCUCCAGGCUCAACCUGGAGACGCCAUCUGAUACUGCCGUGGCUUGAGUCCGGUAGAGGAGCAGGGAAUUCCGGGUGUAGUGGUGGAAUGCGUAGAGAUCCGGAGGAACACCAGCGGCGAAGGCGGCAUCCUGGACUGGUCCUGACACUCAUGAGCGAAAGCGUGGGGAGCGAUCCGG
rnacentral:rRNA from 1 species